GGCCUUUCUCAAAUUAUAUGCAUACUUUACAUUCCAUCACCAGAGAGAGGCUAACAGGGCAUGAAUGUAAACAAAUAAUGUCUGACCUGAUAAGCCCUAGUGUGUUAAACUUACUUGGGAAAUCUCAUUUUUAUUCCACUCUGUUAUUCCAAUUCUAGAUAUAAUUAUACCGUUAAUUUUCAUAAAAUACCUAAGGAUGUGAGUUUAACAAAGGAAAGGAUUGUGAAAAUAAGAUGGAUGAAAGAACGUUUCAAGAUCAAUAUUUUGCAAUACUUGCUCGUUUUGAAGCAUUUCACACAAUAAGAUUAACAAUCAUGGACAUAAAUUCAUAUAUGUCUGAAGAGAACCGAUGUACCCUGUAGAUGGUUCGACUGGAGUAAUAAUCAACAGACCAGUAAGAUGAACACUAAAGAAGAAGAUUUCGUUACCAGAUGAAAGGUAUACACAAGACUUAAUUUUCAUUUUUUACACAUAAACAAAGUUCAGCCCCUGUAAAAAAUAUAUGUGCAAUUAAAAUAUAAAUUGAUAUAUUCUAGAAAUGGCAUAAUUCUUGUUUCCACUUCUAAAUAAAAGGUAUAUAUUUUUCAGGAAUUCCACUGGUAACAGUCAUGAACACAAAUUGACAAUUGGUAUUUGAAAUCCCUUUAAUUAUCUCUUCAUGGCAGUGGCAAGAAACUAUCAAACAGUUCAAAGAAGAAUUACAGAAAACUAAGGAGGAAAACAAACAGUGAUAUUGAACUUCUGAUACAAACAAAUUUUCAAAUGUUGACAGUUGUAUAUUUUGUAAUGUUAUACAGGAUUUCCAACAAAAUUUACUAUAUAUUCAUUACAGUUUUCAAUAGGAAAAAAUUAAGAGAGUUUAUUAUGAUGCAAGCAAAACAAUCAGCUUGACUGGCGAAAUGUUUUUAGCAUAUUUUACAGGAUCAUUUGUUCAGUCUUUUGCGCCUUGAAUUUAAAUAAAAACUUUAAAAGAA